rnacentral:rRNA from 1 species
GACGUAGGGUGCAAGCGUUGUCCGGAAUUAUUGGGCGUAAAGAGUUCGUAGGCGGUUACUUAAGUCUGGUGUUAAAGCCCGAUGCUCAACGUCGGCAUGGCAUUGGAAACUGGGUAGCUAGAGUGUGUCAGAGGUUACGGGAAUUCCUGGUGUAGCGGUGAAAUGCGCAGAUAUCAGGAGGAACACCGAUGGCGAAGGCAGGUCUCUGGGCAUUAACUGACGCUGAGGAGCGAAAGCAUGGGGAGCGAACAGG